rnacentral:rRNA from 1 species
UUAUCGGAGAGUUUGAUCCUGGCUCAGGACGAACGCUGGCGGCGUGCCUAAUACAUGCAAGUCGAGCGGACAGAUGGGAGCUUGCUCCCUGAUGUUAGCGGCGGACGGGUGAGUAACACGUGGGCAACCUGCCUGUAAG